rnacentral:rRNA from 1 species
AUUGAACGCUGGCGGCAGGCCUAACACAUGCAAGUCGAGCGGUAACAGGAAAUAGCUUGCUAUUUUGCUGACGAGCGGCGGACGGGUGAGUAACGCGUAGGAAUUUGCCCAGUAGUGGGGGAUAGCCCGGAGAAAUUCGGAUUAAUACCGCAUACGCCCUAAGGGGGAAAGCAGGGGAUCUUCGGACCUUGCGCUAUUGGAUAAGCCUGCGUGAGAUUAGCUAGUUGGUGAGGUAAGGGCUCACCAAGGCGACGAUCUCUAGCUGGUCUGAGAGGAUGAUCAGCCACACUGGAACUGAGACACGGUCCAGACUCCUACGGGAGGCAGCAGUGGGGAAUAUUGCACAAUGGGCGAAAGCCUGAUGCAGCCAUGCCGCGUGUGUGAAGAAGGCUCUAGGGUUGUAAAGCACUUUCAGUAGGGAGGAAAAGUCGAUAGUUAAUACCUAUCGGCCGUGACGUUACCUACAGAAGAAGCACCGGC